CCUACGGGUGGCCUCCCUCUUUCAUCUUCCGCAAUGGACGAAAGUCUGACGGAGCCCCUCCGCGUGAGCGAAGAAGGUCUUCGGAUCGUAAAGCUCUGUUUUUAUGUAAUAACAAGUACGGGAGGAAAUGACCGUACCUUGACGUUACCUGACGAGGAAGCCACGGCUAACUACGUGCCAGCAGCCGCGGUAAUACGUAGGUGGCAAGCGUUGUCCGGAAUUAUUGGGCGUAAAGCGCGCGCAGGCGGUCUUUUAAGUCUGAUGUGAAAUCUUGCGGCUCAACCGCAAGCGGUCAUUGGAAACUGGGAGACUUGAGUGCAGAAGAGGAAAGCGGAAUUCCACGUGUAGCGGUGAAAUGCGUAGAGAUGUGGAGGAACACCAGUGGCGAAGGCGGCUUUCUGGUCUGUAACUGACGCUGAGGCGCGAAAGCGUGGGGAGCAAACAGGAUUAGAUACCCCGGUAGUC
rnacentral:rRNA from 1 species